rnacentral:rRNA from 1 species
CCUACGGGGGGCAGCAGUGGGGAAUAUUGGGCAAUGGGCGCAAGCCUGACACAGCAAUGCCGCGUGAAGGAAGAAGGCGUUCGGGUUGUAAACUUCUUUGACAGGGGAAGAGCAGAAGACGGUACCCGGAAAACAAGCCACGGCUAACUACGUGCCAGCAGCCGCGGUAAUACGGAGGUGGCAAGCGUUGUCCGGAUUUACUGGGUGUAAAGGGCGUGUAGCCGGGAAGGCAAGUCAGAUGUGAAAUCUGGAGGCUCAACCUCCAAAUUGCAUUUGAAACUGUUUUUCUUGAGUACUGGAGAGGCAGACUGCAUUCCUUUUGUAGCGGUGCAAUGCGUAGAUCUAAGGAGGACCCCCAGUGGC